rnacentral:misc_RNA from 1 species
UAUAAAUAGAAAAUAAGACAAAACCGAUCCAAUAUGUUAAAUACUGCACUGUCCGAUGACCGUUCGGUAAUUUACAUAAUGGAUCGUUUGAGACUUAUAUCUUACUAAAGAUAUUGUUUUUUAACAUAACCAAUAAAGAUGUACAUACAAGCCAUUGAGGUAAAACAUUCAUAAAUUUAUUCGGUUUUAUUUACUUUACCGCAUUUAAUAUCAGUUGCUGUAUGAUGAAGAAACACUCUGUAGAUCCUCGUGACCAUUUUACGCACGUUUUUCUCACUGCGCUCUUAUCAUGUUUCCCCCCUUCAUCAUAUUGGACUUUCGUUAGCCAGGAAUUCUCGUGUUGCUAUUAUUUGUGUUAAUUUAUGUACGGAAUAGCAAUUUGUUUCAUUGAGUAAGCUUCGAAAAUAGUAUUCUCACGAGUGGCGGAGCGAGGAAAGAAUUUUGACAUUUCGGAAACAUAUACUGUAUUUAUUUCAAUUCCUUGCAAGGGCAAAUUGCUUUAGUUCAUUUUAUUAAAGCGUAAGGAAGGAAACAGUUUCUUGUUCAAAUACGCAAAGGCAUAGCAAAUGAGGAUAAUGUUUCAUUGAACAGUUGAAAGCGUUGUUGGAAGCGGACAGUAGGAGAAACUUGACUGCUGCGGACAUGUGCAAUGAAUGAGAAAAUGCGUUAUUUUUUACCUACCUGGCAAUAUACUGUUUUUGUAAUUGAUAAGUUCAAUGACAGUUUUUGCUGGGUGUACAUGAAUAUAACCGAAAAUCUUCAAAUUUAGUGCAAGAAGACUUACAGAAAAGACCCUUUCACUAUAUUGUCGGAUGCAGCUACUGGAACAAAAAAUGUAUUGGAAUUAUUCUGCUACUUGCGUUAGCAACAUCUUGUUUAUGGACAUCUUCAACUACAAUUUCAACACAGAUAUCGGUAAAAAAUGCAUUCAACGACAAUGAACUUGGAAAUAAAUCGAGUAAACAGGGAGAAAAAAUAAAAAGAAUUGCUUACUUAAAAGUGCCUAAGACUGGUUCAACCACACUUGCAUGCAUCUUCAUCAGGUUUGGAAUUCGGAAUAAUCUUUCAGUGUUUCUCUCAAAGAAAAGUUUUGUAAGUGAAUAUAACAAAAAGCUUUUAUUGAAACGAAAAAAAAAGUUUGACAUUUUUGCUACACACACAUUGUAUAAUUAUACUUUUUUCACUCAUAUCGUCAGAAAUCCUUCAAUAAUCGGAAGAAUUCGAGAACCAAGCCAGAGGAUUAUCAGCAAUGCUUUCUUUGCACCUAGUUACACGGCAAUGAAAAGAGACUUCGGGCAUUCUGCACAGAGAUUUAUCGAUGAAAUAGUAAGGAAUACGUCCAACUAUCAACUUCACAAUGUAAUGUCUAGAUACUUUGGGAUGAACAGUGAAGCAAUGAACUAUCGUCAGAUGCAAAAUAUCUUAACUACAUUGAACUCAGAAUUCUUACUAGUAAUUGUUAAUGAAAGGUUUAACGAAUCUCUUAUUCUUUUAAAACGACUUCUUAACUGGUCAUUUGCCGAUAUAACUUACGCACCGAAAAGGCUGAAUCAUCACGGCAAAGUGUUUCUCAACAAAUUCCAGAUAGAUCACCUUAAAUCUACAAACAAGUUAGAAUAUAAAAUUUAUGAAUAUUUUUCCAAUGAGCUUAACAGAAAGAUAAGAAAAGCAGGUACAGACUUCUUAGGAGAAGUUCGUUAUUUCGAGCACAUUUUAAAUGAAAUAAAUUCUUUUUGCCAAAACCCGUCUAAUUACGAUAACGCAUACAUUUUCCCUCCAUCGAGAUGGGGUAAAGGCUUUUCGAUUAACCUGGAAGAAUGCUAUAUGAUUUUUUACAUGGAUGAUACAAGAUUUAAAAAUCAGUCAAAACAAUUUGGCAUCGACUUAAUCGUGUAGUUUUUAUUAUAUACAUACUAAUGAAAUACUGGAAAAUACCGAUGAAAUAUAAUUCAUAUUUUCACUGUAUUUAUUUUUCCUUGCAGUGAAACAUAUUUUUUCUAUAUUUUUACCGCAGUGAAACAUAUUUUCUAUAUUUUCACUAGUAUUCCGGAAGUACUUUGGUAUUCUUGGGCACUGGCACCAGACCAGAAAUAAAAUGCUUUUUACAUGUUAUACUCUAACCCUAUGUAUUCUAUAAGAACCAUUGUCAUGAACGGGAAAGUGCACUAACCUGUUUUAAUCGAACAUUUCUUACCUAAAACGCGCAGUUUGGUGAAUGGAUAUCAAUCAUAUUGAGCAAGCCGUAAUUUAUCUCCCAUCAGGCACCAGUCACAUUGUCUCAUAUUUCAUAUUGCAGAGAUACUACACAUAUUUUAUGCUUUCGUUAACGUUACAGAAAAAAUCCUUGUGUGAACUUCCUCAAUAAACAUCCAGUCUGGAGGUCACAGCAGUGUGCACAUGUUACGCGAAAUGUAAACUAACAAAACUAGAAUACAAAAUAUUCACAGUUUUACAA